GGGGGAUUAGCUCAGCGGAUAGAGCAACGGUUUUCUAAACCGUCGGUCGCAGGUUCGAAUCCUGCAUCCCCUGCCA
rnacentral:tRNA from 1 species